rnacentral:tRNA from 1 species
UGGAGUGAUGGCCGAGUGGCUGAAGGCGCUCCCCUGCUAAGGGAGUAUAGUUUUUAAAAAAAACUAUCGUGGGUUCAAAUCCCACUCACUCCGA